UACGUAGGUCCCGAGCGUUGUCCGGAUUUAUUGGGCGUAAAGCGAGCGCAGGUGGUUUAUUAAGUCUGGUGUAAAAGGCAGUGGCUCAACCAUUGUAUGCAUUGGAAACUGGUAGACUUGAGUGCAGGAGAGGAGAGUGGAAUUCCAUGUGUAGCGGUGAAAUGCGUAGAUAUACGGAGGAACACCAGUGGCGAGGGCGGAUUGCUGGACAGUAACUGACGCUGAGGCGCGAAAGCGUGGGGAGCAAACAGG
rnacentral:rRNA from 1 species